UCCCGUGUGGCUCAGUUGGUAGAGCAUGGUGUUUGCAACACCAGGGUUGUGGGUUCGAUUCGUACGGGAG
rnacentral:tRNA from 1 species